UACGUAGGGGGCAAGCGUUGUCCGGAAUUAUUGGGCGUAAAGAGCUCGUAGGCGGUGUGUCGCGUCGGCCGUGAAAACCUGCAGCUUAACUGUGGGCUUGCGGUCGAUACGGGCAUCACUGGAGUUCGGCAGGGGAGACUGGAAUUCCUGGUGUAGCGGUGAAAUGCGCAGAUAUCAGGAGGAACACCGGUGGCGAAGGCGGGUCUCUGGGCCGACACUGACGCUCAUGCACGAAAGCGUGGGGAGCAAACAGG
rnacentral:rRNA from 1 species